rnacentral:rRNA from 1 species
UACGAAGGGGGCUAGCGUUGCUCGGAUUUACUGGGCGUAAAGGGCGCGUAGGCGGUCAGCACAAGUCAGUUGUGAAAUCUCCGGGCUUAACUCGGAAAGGUCAACUGAUACUGUGCGACUAGAGUGGCAGAAGGGGCAACUGGAAUUCUCGGUGUAGCGGUGAAAUGCGUAGAUAUCGAGAGGAACACCUGCGGCGAAGGCGGGUUGCUGGGCUGACACUGACGCUGAUGCGCGAAAGCCAGGGGAGCGAACGGG